GGGUGAACGCUGGCGGCGUGCCUAACACAUGCAAGUCGAGCGGUGCAGCUGGAAAGCUUCUGCGGAACGCUGCACAGCGGCCGACGGGUGCGUAACACGUAUAAACGUGCCCCCUGCAAGCCGAUAGCUGUGGAAAACUGCAGGUAAUCCCCCCUAAACUCGGGAGAGUAAAGGCCGAUAGGUGCCAGGGGAGCGGCCUGCUGCCCAUCAGGUAGUUGGUAGGGUAAAGGCCUACCAAGCCGACGACGGGUAGCCGGUCUGAAAGGAUGGCCGGCCACAAGGGCACUGAGACACGGGCCCUACUCCUACCGGACGCAGCAGUGGGGGAUUUUGGACAAUGGUCGAAAGCCUGAUCCAGCGACGCCGCGUGGAGGAAGAAGCCCUUCGGGGUGUAAACUCCUUUUGUCAAGGAAAAGAGCUGAUGGUACCUGAAGAAUAACCCCCGGCUAACUACGUCCCCGCAGCCGCGGUAAUAUGUAGGGGGCGAGCGUUCCCCGGAAUCACUGGGUGUAAAGGGUGUGUAGGCGGCCGAGUGUGUCUGGCGUUAAAAUCCACGGGCUCAACUGUGGGUAUGCGCUGGAAACUGCUUGGCUUGAGUGCAGCAGAGGCAGACGGAACUGCUGGUGUAGAGGUGAAAUUUGUAGAUAUCAGCAGGUACCCCGGUGGAGAAGUCGGUUUGGUGGGCUGUAACUGACGGUGAGGCAAGAAAGUUAGGGGAGCACACCGGAUUAGAUACCCGGGUAGUCCUAGCCGUAAAAGAUGCUCACUUGGUGUGGGGGAGAAGAGUCUCCGUGCUGAAGCUAACGCGUUCAGUGAGCAUCCUGGGGAGUAUGCCCGCAAGCAUGAAAGUCAAAGGAAUUGACGGGGGCCCGCACAAGCAGUGGAGCGUGCGGUUUAAUUAGAAGCUAAGCCAAGAACGAUCCCAGGGCUUGACAUGCUGGCCGUACCGAGCUGAGAGAUGAGGGACGCCGCCGAAAGGCAGCGAACCAGCCCAGGUGCUGCACGGUCGUGGUCAGCUCGUGCCGUGAGGUGUUGGGUUAAGUCCCGCAACGAGCGCAACCCCUGCUCUUAGUUGCCAGCACUUAAGGUGGGCACUGUAAGGGGACUGCCGGCGACGAGCCGGAGGAAGGAGGGGAUGACGUCAGAUACUCGUGCCCCUUAUGUCUUGGGCGACACACGCGCUACAAUGGGAUGGACAGCGGGAAGAGAGGCAGCGAUGCUGAGCAAAGCCCUUAAACCAUCCCCCAGUUCAGAUUUUGGGUUGAAACCCGCCCACAUGAAGCCGGAAUUGGUAGUAAUCGCGGAUCAGCCACGCCCCGGUGAAUACGUUCCCGGGCCUUGUACACACCCCCCGUCAAGCCCCCCGAGUUGCGGUCACCCGAAGACGGUGACUCAUAGGGGCGCCGUUGAGGGUGAACGUGGUGAGGGGGGCAGGU
rnacentral:rRNA from 1 species